rnacentral:tRNA from 1 species
GGGAAUGUAGCUCAGUUGGAGAGCACAUGCUUAGCAUACAUGAAGUCCUGGGUUCAAUCCCACCUCUCA